AGAAAGGAGUCUUGCUCAAACAAUUUUAGAGGAAUAGCUCUAAAAUAAGUGGCUUUCCCAGGAUCAAAGGCAGAGCCAUUUUGCUGAAGGUGAGGAUGGAGUGAACCAUGCAAGAGGGCAAUUCUGGGUGCCAAAAAUCCGAUUGCUGAUCCUUGAAGUGUGCACGUGCAGCUGGCUUUUGCUUUCCCAGCUGAUCCUGCUGAAAUUAGGGAAGAGCAGUGCUGGGUUAGCAGUUGGACUCAAAGAUCUUCGAAGUAUUUUCCAACCUUAAGGAUUCUGUGAAUCUUCUGAGCUGAGGAGAGCGCCAGGAUCUGUUUUAAUCCCCAUUGGUUAAUGCAGCUGGUGAGGGGAAAUGUAACACCCGUGUUCCAGGUGCCACAAGAAACUCCUGAUGCUGCCUCUCCCUCCCUUCCCAAGCCUGGGAUUCGAGCGAAUUUAUUUUGGAGGCAGAGAGGAGAGGAAAACUGACUUGUCAGGAAACUUGGCUGGAGUUGUUUGAGCGAGGCUGACUGGAAAACAGCUGCGUGUGCACGGAGCAGAGACUGCACCCCUGCACUGCCAGGGUGGGCUGUCAGAAAAGCCCUUUUUCUUUUUCUUUUUUUUUUUUUUUAAGAAACAGAAAUACAAGACCUGAUUGGCAGCCUGGGAGGAGAAACCUGAGGUACCUGAGGGCCUGGACUCAUGGGAGCAUCCCAAAAGAAACAGUCAUCAGUCCCCUAAAAUAUCUGUUACCCCAAUAAGUGGCAGUCCUUGUGAAGCUGGUUCAGAACAAAACUGCAGAGCAGGUGUUGGAAGGGUCAGGUACCUGUGUUUAUCUGUGGGGAUCCCUGUUUGUUGUCCUGUUGGGUGCUGGUUGGAGCACGCUGGGCCAUCGAGCCCUGCGGAUGAGCCCUUGACCUGUUCUGGGAUGUGCUCCUGGAUCAGGAAUUCCACUCUGGCCACGAGGCUCUGGUGGUUUUUUUCCUUCCUCUUUGUAAAAAUGAAGGGGAAAAGCUCUGCCCUGGGGUAGUGCAGCUCCCUUUCCUGUUGUUCCAUCGUGUUGUUGGGAUGAGUGUCCUAAGAAGGUAAGAGAGCUGGGCAAGGCUUUGGAGCUCAAGGGACAGGACAAGAGGGAAUGGCCCCAGGUUGUGCCUGGUGAGGUUUAGAGUGGAAAUUGUGGGAAAUCUCCCCACUGGAAAGUUGGUCAGGCAUUGGACCAGGCUGCCCAGAGGCACCAAUGCUGGAAAUGUUCAAAAGGCAUGUGGAUGUGGUGCUCAGAGAAAUGCUUUUGUGCUCUUGAAUUCACAGUUAGACUUGAUGAUCUUGGAGGUCUUUCCCAACCUUAAUGACUCUGUGAUUCUUUCGGUUAAAAGGAAGUGGAAACACAAAUGAAAAAGGAUUAAUCUGCUGUUUGCAGUGCUGGGCGUGCUCUGCUUUGGGGACAGCUUUCCCCUCCCCUCCUUCCCCAGAUGAAAACUUGAAUCUGUGCUUGCCACAUUUUAGUUUAGCUUGAUUUUUACCCUAAAAAAAGUAUGUUAAUAAGCAUUUCUUUGCAGCUAGGGAGCCACUUCCAGAUGUGUUUGUCCUGAAUGUCCUUAUCCUGUGUGCCAUUUGGUCAUGCUGAGCUCAAGGGGGAGUUUGCCCUGGACCCAGCUCAGAGGAUAUUGCUGCAGGAGCCACUGCUCUCAGCAAAGUGCUGUGAAAACAUCCAGGAGAUGUCUAUUCCUGCCCUAAUCCCUGAAAUGUGUCCCUCAUAAACACAGCCAAAUAAUUUGGGUGCUUUGUCUGUGCAGAGUGGAGAGAGUUGCUGUGGGAACUUUGAGAGCUUGAGUGUCUUGUUUUGCAUGUAAGUUCUCAGCACUGAAGUGCAUAAAUAGGGCUUUGCAUCUCAUAAUUUAUAAUUCAGCCCAAGAAAUGCUCUAAUACCUUUAUCAGAAUUGGGAACGUCACUCAAAGCACAAAAGCACAAAUCACUGAGGAACAGGAAGACAUUAAGGGCUGCUGUUCUCUCUGUGUCUGGAAUAACAGCCAAGAAUCAGUGAGCUUUUCUCCUAAACAAAUGUUUCACUGUUGUGUGUGUGAAUAAAUAAAUUUUCUCUCUCUCUCUCUUUUAUUUUUUUUUAAGGCAGGCCAAGGAAGGAAAGGAAAAGCUGAAGUGCCUUAGGUGCAGGGAAGCAUUUUGCUCUAUUCCCUGACUUUGCUCAGUGCCACCUGUGUUUCCCCACUGCAGGAUAAGAGCAGGAGGGCUGAGGAUUUGGGAUGGGCAAGCCUGGAAUAGGGAAGAAAUUUCUUCACAGCUGUCCCUGGUUGUGGGACCUCAGGUUCUGGUGGCCAGGCAGUGAAAUCAGGAGGUUUGGGGAGAUAAACCCACCUCAUCCUGGUGGGAAGGGGCUGGGAGCAACCUGGUCUAGUUGGAACUGGAUGUCCUUUAGAGUCCCUUGCAACCCAUGAGAUUCAGCGUUCCUGUGGCUGUGGCAGGGAAAGGGGUGGUGGAGAAGCUUCUCUGAGAGCAGCACAGGAUGUGCCCCCUAAAGCGCUCCAGCUCAGAGUGGAAAAGAAAAAAAAACCCACUUGGGAAUGCUGAUACAUUUGCCAGGGUUUCUGUAGCCACAAUAUAUCCCAGGAAGCAUGGCACCCACCCAUGGUUCAUUUACAAGCCCUGGGUUGUGCAGAAAACAGGAAUUGCCCUUCAGAACCCCACUGAUGGACCUUCUCCUCCGGUCCCCCGGUGCUGGCACAGCCCAGCUUCACAGGCCACAAGGGAAGCUGCAAAGCUGCUGUCAUGAUCCCACUGCUGGAGCCAGAGGCAGGAAAGCAAUGGAGACGCUCUCAGUGACUCCAGGGUGCUGUGAAGUGGGGGCCCAGGCCAUCAAACCUCCAUGGGGGCAGGCAAGAGGAGAAAAAAUGCAUGGGAGUAGGACUGCAAGUCCUCACUGAAAUUGUUUGUUCUCUUAUUUUUAAUCUCCAGCAUCACUGGACGUGAUCCCUCUGGAGGUGCUGCCAGACCAUUGAGUGCUCCAUCCCUGCGCUCCAGACACCCUCUUCCUGGAAGAAAGUUGGCAACUUUGGGUUUAUUCCAUUUUUUCACCCAUGCCACAGACUAUUUAAUAUCAGGUUUGCUGUGGGUUUGUUUGGGUUUGGUCCCACAAACGCCUCUGGGGCAGGUCAGUGCAUCUCUCAAGCCACCCCUUGGCUGUGCCUUUGGAGUUUGCAAAAUCCAAGGAGACCUCUGUUGUUCUGCUUGAAUAUCCCUCCCCACCUCAGUCCCAAAUGGUGGGAAGCAUCAGGGAAUAUUAUUGAUAAACAAUAGAUGUCUGGUGGAGACACUGGUGAUUUUCCUGGUACAAAAGGCUGCUGCAUCCUCUGUGAUAAUUCCCCUUUUUUUUUUCCUCCUUGCUGGCUUUGUGGUUUUGUGAUUUGUUUGUGGGCUGGCAGGCGUCCACAGCCCUGCAGGAAAUGGAUGUCUGCUCUUGUGUUUGAGGGGGGGGGGCAUAUAAAUGUGUAAUUGCCCCACUACAUUAAUUACAGACGUUUCUCCCUGGCUGGAGCAGCUCCAUGGUUUCUGUGCCCUUUCGGUUCGUUCUCCCCAGCCCAGGCUGAGAGUAUUUAUAGUGAACCCCAGCUCUGACAUCCUCAGCUGAGCUGAGGGAAAGUUAAAGAACUUGGCCACAAAAACUGUAGAGGAGAAACUCAGUGGCCUUUUUUUACCUGAUAGUAACUCCAGGACAGCAGCACAGCCAAGUUUUCCCUGGCUAUUCCUCCUGCUGACAUUUUCCUCAAGGAUAAAACUGGUUUGCCCUAAAAAAACAACCCUCUUGCUAUGGAAAAGAAAUUGUAGGGCAAUUUACUUUGGAAUAGCUGUGCUACCUAAUUCCUGGCUCCUAGAGAGAGACCCAGCUGGACUUGGAGCAAAGAAAGGAAACCUGAGGCAAAAUUCAGUGUGGUUGAAUCAGGUUUUGUUGGAGGAAAGGCUGGACAAGCCACCGUGAGGACCUGGCACAGGGUGCCCAGAGCAGCUGUGGCUGCCCCUGGAUCCCUGGAGUGUCCAAGAAAGGUUGGACACUGGGGCUUGGAGCAACCUGGGAUAGUGGAAGAUGUCCCUGCCUGUGGCAGGGGGUGGAACAGGAUGAACCUUAAGGCCCUUUCAACCCAAACCAGUCUGGGAUUUUAUGGUCUGGGACAGCAGUGGGAUCAAAACUCAUAAUUUCCAGCAGAUUGAAUGUACCUAUGGUGCCCCUUGGCUUGUAACGUGGGUUCUCCAUGGAUUCCUGAUGAAACAGGAAUAUCCUGCUGUGAUUUUUCUCAUUUUUAUCGUGCCAGAAGUGAGGGUGAAGAAUGAGGGAUGUCUGCAAGGACAGGACAAAAACCUGAGCCAGCCUGGUGGCAUGAAACCAGGAGGGAGGUAAGGAUCUGUGAUGGGGGGACAUCCAGGGAUGCAGAAUUCUGGGAUCUCACCUCCUGUUUGGAGUCAUUGCCUGGAUGUGCUGCUGCUCUGGCUCUGCUGCAAUACGUCUCAUCCUUUUUGGGGCUGGGAAUGUUCCACCUACAAAGCUUCUCCCAGGGGUCCUAGCAAACCUUUGAGGUAAAUCCGUCCAGAUCCACAUAAAAUUAAGCAUCUUAUUGUGUUUGUCCU